UUCAGAACAUAACAAAGUUAGUAUUAUCAAUAGAAAACAUGGCCAGAAUCGAGGGUCUCAACAGCCAUAGCCAUACAAGGAUGACCAAGGAUCCACAAGGGAGUAUGCGUCCGCCAGCAGCAAAGCCAAAAGCCACCAUAGCCACACUUCCGGCAACCCAAAAUAAAAGCGAAUUGAAGCUACCUCUACACAGCAAAACGCCGCAAAUCGAGGGGGAAAGCUAAAUACUUACCAUUACUUCUGAGGAGGAGGAGGUUUUCCUCCCGCAGCUGUUCUUCCUCCUUCCGCAGCCGCUCUUUCUCAUUCCGCAGCUGCUCUUCCUUCUUCCGCCAAUAUUUUGCCAGAGAUCGAUUGCCACUCUGAAGGGCAGAGAGAAAAGAUUCCCCAGCCGCUUGGAUCUGCGGCUCAAGAAGCCCGAUUUGAGCUUCCACCUUAGCCAAUUCCUCGUCCAUUUGGCUAGCUGAAACCCUAUCUUGAAACCAUCUUAUAUGGAGGCAGUGGCGCCCUAGAAACGUCAGGGACCGCAUGAUCUUCAUCCGACGGCCUGGUGUUUUAGACCACUAAUUCAAUUAUAAACACAGGUUUUGUUUGUUUAAGCGGCUUCUAUUUUACAGUUUUGUACGAACUUAUCUAUUGCUUGCUCCUUGGUGGAGUGUGCUAGGGCAGAAUGGAGGUGGAGCGAGUGGUGGUGGACGUGCAGCAUGCGUUGGAGAGCUUGGUGCGCAGGAUCUUGGCCAUGGUAAGCAGCAGCAACACAAUGUGGGCAUUCACCUUCUUGGAUUCGCUCGCAUCUGGGGCGUCGACGAGUGUGCUGGGGAGAGCUGGGACGGUGCUGUUCGCGUCGGCGAGAAACGAGCGUAGCAUCAAGGCAUUCCGGGAUUGCGUGGACAAGCUAUUACUGGGAGAUGCUCAGGAAGAUCACGCUGCUGCUGCUCCUCGCCAUGGCUGGGCAUUCCACAUCGGCCAAAGUAUGACUGAUGUUGUGCGGGAGAAUUUUGAGGACAGAGAGACGUAUUAGAAAUGGCUUUUCAAGGAACCUGACGAACGAUUUGAGGCUUUUCUCGAGUACGUGGAGAAAGAGGAAGAAAAGGUGCGUGGUUUUUUCCUUCCCUUUGCAGAGCGGUAACCGUGACAUUCUGUUUUUUUAUAUAUAUACUUACAAUAUAAAUUUCUCAGUAAAUCAAAGUUUUUAAUACAAUAUGUUCGUUAUUCUAAUAAUAUAUACUACUCAUUUAAGUUAUUUUUAAAACUGGUGUUGAUUAGCAUUUGAUAAAAUAUUCAAAUGAAUCCAAGUGUAACAACUUAAAUUGAAGUAUAACUGCUGAUGAGGAUAAUUUAAAUACCACGCUAAUCACCCUCUCCAGCGCAAUCAUGAGCAUAGCACAGCACCUGCCUUCUUCCUUGUGGUGGGCGCUAUAUGUCUUAUAUAUCUAGCAAGGAAUUUGUAAAGGCUUUGCCAUCAGCCUAAUGCACUUUUUGUAUUAGAUUAGUAAAAUGGCAAACACAGUAUAGCAUUAUUUUGAUAAGCUUUAAAGCACAUAAUCAAAGUGAUUGAAGUCUAGUUAAUGAGAAGUAAACUAAGAGUUUAUGAAUGACUUUUUGCUUUGUACAUGCUUCCCUGGAUUCAGCAGACUAUGUUUUUAGCGCAGUCUUUGCUGCUACAAGUCUUGGCAACUUGCGAGAUGUGAUCGUGCCGUAAAUUUCUUGUUUCGUUCGUCCGAGAAACUAUUUCUGAAGCUGUAAAGGUACGCUUGCUUCGUUUUCUUUUCAUUCUCCGGAGCUUGAUCUUUGGACUCUUCUUCCAUCCUUUUGCAAUUUGUGCAUCCUCGUAGUCCACUUGAACAACAAACUGGCGCCUCUUCCCAAAUACUGCAUUUCUUUUCCCAUAGACUCCAUCUUUAUUAUUCUUGUAUUGCUGCCAUCCUGUUCCUGGAAACGUCUCUUUCGGAACACACGACCACAACCUGUAGCUUGAUCUCUUCAACGCAGCAUCCACCAUUUCUAAGUCACUCGCUUUAAAGCCGUGUUUUCCAUCCAGUCUCUUGAAGACCUGAAUGAGAAUGUCUUUAUCCAUAGCAGAAUCAAUGCUCGGAAAGACUUCAGAAGUUGGUUUCACAUACUUGCCCAUCCCUAUCUUUCCUUGAAACUCACCAGCAGAACUUGCCUCUAGCAUGAUAUGAGGUCCAAUAUGAUGGGAAGUCUCAGGACCGGAGCUUCCAUCAGCGUAAACUGGCUUGAUAACAAAAUCACCACCCUUCAACAGCAGCCUAUGCACAAGAGGUUCAUAAAGCCUCCCCCACAAAGCCCCCACCCAAGAGCAGCUGAAUGUUUCUUUCAGAAAUUCCACCACACGCACAGGUCCAGCAAGCAGAUACUGAUUCCCAAGCUCUGUUAUCAAAGCCUCGCUUGCAAACUGAUAUGUCUUUUCGCCGUGGUCCUCAGUUGCCACAAUGUGCAGAAUCCAGUCGCUGACGUCUUCCACGUACCCUCCUGACAAAACCGUGCCCGCUCUGGAUACACUUGUUCCGAACAACACAACCGCAGUCUUGGCCAUGGCCUUCCCCUCAUUCAGCUUUGUUGCACGCAGUACAUACCUAGGAACUCCACCCAAAUAAUCGAAGUUGUCAAACCCUUCCUUUCUGUCCACCACAUUCAUGUUCCCGUAACUAGUUCGGUAAGGCUCAAAGUCGUCAAGGAAUUUCCCAAUCUCCUCCCUAGACCACACCGACAUAUAAAGCAUGCAACAAAGCCCCCCCUUGCCAAACUCAUUGUAGUUUUUCUCCCUAGAUGAGGGAACCAAAAGAACUCGACAUCUGCGAGGGAAAGGCGUCUUCUGCUUCUCAUUUAUCACUAGCCACAUCGACGGAUCGUCCAGCAUUUCGCAUAUAAUUUGGUCACUCACGUCAUAACGACCUUCAGCACACCGCCUUCGCAAAUUCAGGAUGUAGACAAACUUCCCAUCCUUGUAUAGCACCUUUUCAUGCCCCAUUUGGCCCAGCCUAAUAAUCCAGUGGUAGCCAAAGAACGUUUUCCCUAUCCCUGCAGUGCCUAGGACGAUGAAAGAAGUGAAGUUGUUGAGCCGCUCCACGAUUUUUGAUUCUAGACUCGCAUACGCCUUUCGUUUCCAAAGCAGGAAAGGUUGGCCAUAAUCUCCCAGUGCAUCGCUAUCUAGAAUCCAGAAUUUAGAAUCUGGAGUGUCAGUAGCCCUUGCAAGGGCCGCCACACCAGCUGGUACACCUGAAGCAAGAUACGAAUGCACGGAUCAGACAAGAACUGCUACAAGCAGGCAGAUACCGCUCUGUGAGGAGAACUGAGCAAACUCUAGUGUGAGGCAGGAAAACUUCAAACGACGGCAAAACAGUCAUCCCAGAGGGAAGAGCUCUAAGCCGAAGAAGACACAGACAGUAUUAAUAGAACGCAAGGGGCCACAUACCAAGCAGAUGCCAUGAAUUCAAUUACAACCACAAGCCAGACACAAGCACCCAAGACCAAAUCCAACAGCGACACCAUCAGAAGCAAGACCUUGUGCCCGAUUUCAUGGCGCACCAGGAAUACCAAGAACUGGACAAAAAAUGGGACUUUCAACAUCACAGAUCAAAGAGAAAACAAGGGGGAUAUGCAAGGAAACAAAGGGCUUUCACAAUUGCUUACCAGAUCCGUGGAUUCCAUGGGGCACUGCAACAUUCAGAACAUAACAAAGUUGGUAUUAGAUCUGGAAGAAAAACUAUCAAUAGAAAACAUGGCCAGAAUCAAGGGUCUCAACAGCCAUAGCCAUACAAGGAUGACCAAGGAUCCACAAGGGAGUAUGCGUCCGCCAGCAGCAUAGCCCCACGACACCAGCAAAACGCCCCAAAUCGACACAAAGAAUGACUUACCAUUACUUCUGAGGAGGAGGAGGUUUUCCUCCCGCAGC
rnacentral:lncRNA from 1 species